rnacentral:rRNA from 1 species
UNUGACUUGAGUGCAGAAGGGGAGAGUGGAAUUCCAUGUGUAGCGGUGAAAUGCGUAGAUAUAUGGAGGAACACCAGUGGCGAAAGCGGCUCUCUGGUCUGUCACUGACGCUGAGGCUCGAAAGCGUGGGUAGCGAACAGGAUUAGAUACCCUGGUAGUCCACGCCGUAAACGAUGAGUGCUAGGUGUUAGGCCCUUUCCGGGGCUUAGUGCCGGAGCUAACGCAAUAAGCACUCCGCCUGGGGAGUACGACCGCAAGGUUGAAACUCAAAGGAAUUGACGGGGGCCCGCACAAGCGGUGGAGCAUGUGGUUUAAUUCGAAGCAACGCGAAGAACCUUACCAGGUCUUGACAUCCCGAUGCUAUUCUUAGAGAUAGGAAGUUACUUCGGUACAUCGGAGACAGGUGGUGCAUGGUUGUCGUCAGCUCGUGUCGUGAGAUGUUGGGUUAAGUCCCGCAACGAGCGCAACCCUUAUUGUUAGUUGCCAUCAUUAAGUUGGGCACUCUAGCGAGACUGCCGGUAAUAAACCGGAGGAAGGUGGGGAUGACGUCAAAUCAUCAUGCCCCUUAUGACCUGGGCUACACACGUGCUACAAUGGUCGGUACAACGAGUUGCGAGCCGGUGACGGCAAGCUAAUCUCUGAAAGCCGAUCUCAGUUCGGAUUGGAGGCUGCAACUCGCCUCCAUGAAGUCGGAAUCGCUAGUAAUCGCGGAUCAGCACGCCGCGGUGAAUACGUUCCCGGGCCUUGUACACACCGCCCGUCACACCACGAGAGUUUGUAACACCCGAAGUCGGUGAGGUANCCUUUUAGGGG